UUUGAUUCAUGCUCAGAUUGAACGCUGGCGGCAGGCCUAACACAUGCAAGUCGAGCGGAUGAAGGGAGCUUGCUCCUGGAUUCAGCGGCGGACGGGUGAGUAAUGCCUAGGAAUCUGCCUGGUAGUGGGGGAUAACGUCCGGAAACGGGCGCUAAUACCGCAUACGUCCUGAGGGAGAAAGUGGGGGAUCUUCGGACCUCACGCUAUCAGAUGAGCCUAGGUCGGAUUAGCUAGUUGGUGGGGUAAAGGCCUACCAAGGCGACGAUCCGUAACUGGUCUGAGAGGAUGAUCAGUCACACUGGAACUGAGACACGGUCCAGACUCCUACGGGAGGCAGCAGUGGGGAAUAUUGGACAAUGGGCGAAAGCCUGAUCCAGCCAUGCCGCGUGUGUGAAGAAGGUCUUCGGAUUGUAAAGCACUUUAAGUUGGGAGGAAGGGCAGUAAGUUAAUACCUUGCUGUUUUGACGUACCAACAGAAUAAGCACCGG
rnacentral:rRNA from 1 species